rnacentral:rRNA from 1 species
GAGUAGUACUAGGAUGGGUGACCUCCUGGGAAGUCCUCGUGUCGCACCCCU